rnacentral:lncRNA from 1 species
UGAAGAACAUGCACUAGUUCUCAAAUCUAGGUACUUUUGGAUAAGCUAAAUACAUUUAUAUCGACUGUUCAAAAAGUAUUUCUAUAUCCAGUAUCCAUUUGGAGAACUAUAGAAAUUAAAUUAAUCAGCUGUAUUUCAAUAAACUAAAAUGGAAGAACAGAGAACUUCAUGCAUCACAGAUUCACAGGUUGGUAUUAGUAGGGAUUUACCUCGAAUAUAGCAAGCACGAAGACUAAAUAAUUUUCGAAAUAUUAACUCAUAAAAACUUUCUUCACCUGUAAUUAUAAAACUUUAGUUCAUCAACAUGCUUCUUCCACAAACGUAAACGACUAAAUAAUUCCCAUUGACUACUCAAAUUCAUAUCUUGCUGCACAACAAUCAAAGGGAAUGUAAAACACACCAUAUUCUACAUUCAACUUGAUAGAAUCACUAGGAUUUAGGAACAUUAAUGAUCAAAGCAGCAGAUAAACAAUAUCAAUGCUAAUCCAUAGGCACAAUCAAAGAAUAAGUCAAAAGGGUUAAAUUAUUUUGUUUUCUCCAGUUUCAUUUCCCAUCCCCUAUGGUUACAAACACAAUAAUUCAUUGCCUUAUAACCUUAUUUACUUCAAGUUCAUGCUCGUCCAAUCCAUUUAAUCGACAAGGUAACAAAGGAUUCUGGAAGCCAAUUAAAUCACAUUCACUGAAGAGGAAUUAAACUGAAACAGAAGCUGAUAUCAAUAUAGAUAAAAUAAUCAAGCUACAAUAUGAAGUUAGGUGGAAUUAAACGGAAAAACAAAAUGAACUUUCCAGAUGCAACCACAUAAUUGUCCAAAAUGGAUGAGAUAUUGCAGAAAAAACGCACCAAACACCACAGUCAAUCACAUCUUACCGGAAAUGGCGUUCCAUCUCCUUAAUUGCCUUGUAGUAAUUGUAAUGGAUUCGUCCUCCCACGUAGUUCGCGAGUUCAUCCAUUCUAAUCAGGGAACCCUAACUAGUCAUAGAGAAUACAAAAUUUACCUCAUUCGGCUAAGAACAAUAGAUAGAAAGAGAACGAGAGAGAGAGAGAGAGAGAGAUACGGAAUGGUGAACACAUGAAAAAUCAGUACCUCAAAUUGAAAUUGCAGAGAAAUCGCAGAGUUGAGGCUUGGAAGAAGACGAGCUCGCGCCUGGGGCCUCUCAAUAGAGUAAAAUAGCCUGGUGGAUCUCACAGGAGUCAGACGGCAGAGCAGUGGAGUCAGGCGGCGCAGCGGCGGAGCGCCGAAGUCAGGUGGCGAGGCGCCGGAGCGCAGGAGUCAGGAUGCGGCAGAUAAUUUUUUAGUUGAAUUCUGAUUCUAAUUAGGGUAGAUCGGCUUUGAGAUGAUAAUGGGGAGAUUUUAUUUUG